ACAACAUUUCUGCUAUCGACUGGAGUCAAUUUUAUUUUUUAUGGCUAUUACAUACCAAAAACGUAUGUAGGACUAUUUAAAUAAUUUUAUUUCAGUCGAUUUUGCCAAAUUUUCCAAAAUAAAAACAAAUGUUCCUUGUUUUCUGCAAAAAAACCGGAAGUGUUUAGAAAACUCUCACGUGCAAGCGUCGAACACUUUCUUAGAAAAAUAAAUGUUGUUCUAGGACAAGGUGAGCUCAGGUUAUGUAUUCGGUCGUUCGGCUCGUCAUUUCAAAGACAUAAACUUCGACGCAAUCUGAAGAAACUUCCACAACAAAUGUCUCAGUUUUAAACUUUCCAUAGACGUUUCUAUGGGCAAAUGACGCAAUUUAGUGCUACACUGAAACACGACUCAUUUUCGAGAAGCCAUAAAUAAUGCUAUAUUGGAAAGGUAUUAUAAAUUAUAAAUAUUUUAGAGCCAAAACCGUUUAUUUAAUCGGUGUGACGUCUUCGGAAGAGUUGUAGAUAAUAAUUUUAUCUUUACUCUGGAUUUUUUUUUAUUUUUUUUAAAUUUACUUAAGUUUAUUUAAUUUUAAAUAUUAACAGAUCAAUUGAAAUCAUAUUUUUUAUGAAAACUACAAAAAAUUACCUAAUCGAGGACUGUCCGCUCAUGGAGAAAUUAUGAAAAAAAAGUUAUAUACUUUUGAAAAAAAAAACAAUAUUUUGAAAAAAAUUUUCGCAGCUAAUAUGUCGAAAUAAUUAUUUACAACUUUUCCAAAGACACUAUGCUAAUCAAAUUAGUUUCUGAUUUGUCUUUUAACUUUUCUUUAAAUGGUAACAGAAAUGGAAAAGAAAGAAAUAUUAAAACCUGAGUUCUAGUGUUUGUUGUUUAUCGAUGAGUUAAUACUGUAAUGACCAUUCAAUGAUAGUUUUUGAAAAAACAAUUGUAUUCCAAUUAUGUGAAAUCCGAGAGUCAAUUCGACGUAUUGUUACUCUUUUACACAUUUCAAAAUAUGAUUUUCUUUCCAGGGUUAACAAAAUACAGUAAAAAUGACGAACACAAAAUAGAAAAAUAACUAGAGUAUCGGUGUUGCAUCACAUCGACAGAGGUCGCUUUUCGGAAGGUUUCGCAUUAGUAUGCUGUAGAAAACCAGACUUUCUUCGUCUGCUGCUGAAAUAGUCCCAUAGCCUUCACAUUUUCACUAAUGCUAAUGCUAAUUUUUAGAAUGCUUAAACUAACAGAGUUGUGAAGCAAACUGAACUCCAUCAUUAUUAAUUGUAAAAUAGUAUGUAAUACAGUCAGGUUUUUUUACGUGGUUUUUUACGAGGUUUUAUUUACGCGGAUUUUUGAACUAACGCGGUUUUUUUACGCGAUACCGCGCUAAUUCAAAAAAAUUUUCACGAAUUUCCGAAUCAACGUGGGUUUGGAAGCAGAAACGUUUAAGUGUUUAUCUAGUAAAAGACUUAGUCCAAAAAAUACUCUCCGCCCACCGAAAGAUCCGGAAUGACUGUCAAAGACGACAAUUUUAAAUACUGGUUCUAGAGCGUCUCGGGUUUUUUCUAAAGCCCUUCUUGCUGGACUACUUUACGCGGAUUUAAAAUAAACGUGGUUUUUUUUUAUGCGGAUUUCUGAAUAACCGCGGUUUUUUUUUACGCGGUUUUUUACGAGGUACGUAUCCCCCGCGUAAAAAAAAAAACCUGACUGUUCUUCAAUAAUCAGGGUAGCCACUCAAUCGGAAUAACCGAAUAUCGGUUACAACCAUGGAAAGCGAACGAAUUCUCGUGGAAAUCAGGAAUUCGCCAUGAACAAUUUCAAAUUGUUCGCAAAUAACAAUUUUCAAACUUUAAGAAAAUCGUAAUCAAUAUUGUUUUCGACACAUUUUGCAUGUCCGAAUUCUGUUCGAGACCAUUUUCAGGCUCUUGGUACGGCAGUGCCAAUUCGUUGAUUUGACCCCAAUGGCAAGCUCGUUUUACAUCGUUUUGAAAUUCAUUUUUAAAUCUUUCAAAGGACCGAGUGUCCGAAAACACUGCUUCAAAAAUUUUUGCUUUUUGUACUUUUUGUUGUUGGUAAAUCGGUGUUAUACCAAUGUUACAUAAUACCUAUUCGAAAUUGCUCAAUGUUGGAGUACAUCGCAGUAACGUCCUGAACAUGAAAAAAAUAUUUGAAUUAUAGCUUUUUGCAUUUUCAAAAUAGAUAAAGUCACGUAUAAGUGAAAGUACUAAUAUACUAAAUUAAUCUGUAUUUACUAUUAGGGGUUAUACACUAGUGUUAGGUAAACAAAUUGAAAUAUUCUUUAUUGCAUUUUCUAAAAGGAUAUGUACCUUCAGAUAAAGCGUUAAAAACAUUUAGGUUUUUUCGACUAGAGCAUAUUUAAAAAGAAAAUCAUAAACGUCUGAGCAGUAGAACCGAUUUGCCAGCUAUUGCAAGCGCGUAAUCUGCUGCUGCGCGCCACAUACCUAUUUUUUCCAAGAAAAUGUGGCUGUGGUAAGCACUGGUUUUGAAGAACCAUCAACCGGAUUGAAUUUUAGACAGGCUCGUUUAUAACAAUAAUAGCAUGCUUGGAAACGACGGAUUUUCUUUGAAGCAAUAUUUUUUUCCUACUACAAAAACCGAAAUAUUUUACGCGAAUAACGAAACUUUUUAGAAAAACUAUCAUUAUUUUUGUAAAAAAAAGUAAAUUAUGCAAAAUCCUCCGUUCGCGAGAGCCGUUGGAAAAUUUAUGUUUUGGUAAAAUGACUGCGCUGCCGCUAUUCGCAUAAUAGACCUAUUUUGAAGUCCUAUGCUUUCCUGUUUUUUUUUUGCGGAAAUGGGUCCAUUUUGGCGUGGUGCUUAAAAAUAGCCUUUUAAAUCGAGGUUGUGAGAAUCAAACCUUACUUUUUAAUGGCUAUUCUUGAAAUGCAUCCUAAAAUGGACCCAUUAUCGCAAACAAAAGUACACUCAAAUUUUACAUAGGACUAUUAUGCGAAUAGAAGCAGUCAGUGACUGUAGUUAUUGAUAACUUUAGCCCCCCCUAGAAUUUCCCAGAGAAUAAUUGUAUUCAAUAUAAAUACAUUCCAUACUACUUAUCAGAGCAUCAAAAUCAACACAAAUCUCAUGUCGUCAUUCAUUGAGCAUGAGCAUGAGCAUGAUUGACCGCCCGCGGUUGCUACUCCGUUAUUGCCAGAUCAGCAGUAAUUACACAGAGAACCAAUAGAUGAUGCUUGGGACCAACAUGCAUCCUCAAUGUGUAAAAACUGGUGACCUUAAUAUAUUUAUCAGGCAAUACCAGCGCCGGCCGCAUCCGAAUGCAGGUCAAAGAAGGAGUUUGUAUAGGAAAAUGUUGACGUGAUACUCGCUUUAUGGAAGCCGAGAACACCUCUGCACUUCCACGAGAAAUCACUGGGAUGUUGGAGAGAAGGGUAAGGUUUGCAGCAGGUUUCGUUUUGGUAAACGAUGCGCUGAUUUCGAGCGUCGGGUUCUUUACAACAAGUGUCGCGCCAUUGAGUUCAUUACAUCCGCCACGAUAUUCAUAAUGCGAUUCGAACUUAUUCAGUUUGAAAAUGUAACACCGCAACAAUAAAUCGUACGCAAGGAUACUGGAUCUUUGACCGAAUCGAGACAACUUCAAAUGAUCGGAUAUCUCCUCGUAAGGUGAUCCUCUUUAUACCGAAAGCUAUUGCGCGUUGUUGAUCUAUCUAAAAAUAGGCCACUUGAAAUGUAUAAACACGGAGUCUCUCUAGGUUCGGUCAACCGGAUAUUUUCUAUAUAACAGAUCGACUAACGACGUCUCUCGUAUUCACUUCGUCUGCUCUAAAAACACGAUCCCGCGAAAAACACACCUGAAAAACGGAAUAUAAAAAUGAUGCGCGCUUAUUACCGAAACGAACCAUGAGUAUCUUUCUUGCCAAACACCGCGAUCCUCUGCGUACGACGCGCGUGAAGUAGCCUUUACCACUUGUAGCAACCAGCUAUUUGUUAAUCUCGAGUACACGUUGGCCGCGAUUCUUUGGAAGGUAUACAUCGCGUUUUCGUUAGUCACGAUAUUUAUCGACCGAACGAAAUCUUCGGUGAGACAUGAACAAGCAUCUGGGUAAACUCCGCGAAAUCACUUAAUUUCGAAAACGUUCAUAUGAGCAAAACUCUCCCGAACCGGAAACGCGGUUUACACCGAAGCAUUUCGCACGACCGCUAUUUUUCCUUCUACCGACGCAGACGCUCGGGGAUACGACAUUUCGAUGUGAAUGUUACCUAUUGAAUAGAAAAAUUGGCAAAGUUUCAUGCAUACAAAGCCUUAAUAAUUUAAAAACGAAGUUAUCCAUAUUGACCAAUAUAUAGUCUCAUGUUUAUUAACAAAAUGCCGAACCAGUCAUAAUUGGAACGUAUUAUAUAAAACAUCUGCCCAAAAGCUAUAAAAAUCGAAAAAGUGAAGCAUAAGAUUUUGGCUAUCAUUACUGCACCAUAGUCCUCAAAAUCGAACGUAUUUUUGUUGUUGUUGAUAAACUGUACUUUCAGAAAAAUACCCCUUUGAUGCAAUGAAAAUGAUGCUAUGCGCUUAAAAAUAGAUUCAAACUUCCCUCAUUUUUCUCGACCAAAAAGGUAUAUAACCCCUUAAGUCAUGAGAAUCUGGGUCGCGGCUUUAAGUUAUAUGCAACAUAGGAAAAUCGAAAAAAGCAAAGCCUUGGUGCCACAUUUCGACUCGGAACCCGACCCUCCUGAACGGGCACAUCGCAAGUGAAACGGUGUGAAACUGAAUUGUAAAACAGUUCACGUUUGUAUAUGACUUCCUCAAUAGGACUGCCAUGGACGACUUUCUCUCACAUAUGCGCCUGAAUUCAAGUUGUCAAUCAUCGACAAAUAUCACUCAAAAUGUUAACGAUUACAUUCCCCCUCCGUGCAUAACGAAUCAUAUCAUUUGACGCUAACUACGAAAUUAUCUUUGCUUCGAGUACUUCUUAUGACUUUCGGAACCUCAUUCACCUGACAUUUCUAAAUAACAAUGCUCCUCUAUCUGGAUGUUGAUGGCGCUUCGAGCGCUCUUUAGUAAGCCCAAGACGCAAUCCCAAAAACGAUCUUUUUCGACCCCUCUUCAAUUCCUUCCAAGUGCGAUUUCAAAGCAAACAAAAAACAAAGCAUUUCAAAAACACUAUGAAUAAAAAUGCCACUUAUCUGCUUCAUGACGAUCCGCUGGCUUCUUUUUGCACAUUCCCGGGCAGCAGUAGAACCUGAACCGAAAAACUUGACCAAUUACACUAAUAAGAAAACAACUUUUUCACCAAAAUCACACGUAGAACAAAACCGCACACAUUAUCCAGCUAGCCUUGUUGUCAGUUUCAAACCACACAGUCAUGAGAAGUAAUACAGAACCCGCUGCAGACUACGGUGGCGUAGUACCAUUCCAUAUGCCAAUUCAGCCAGUUCAUCAAUGAUUCUUCACGGAACUUAAGUGAAUAUUCCGCAUCAAGCACAACACAACAAACAUUCCCGAAUAAACCCACUUCGCAAUAACACCUGUAACUUACACGCACUAUCCUAUUAAACAAAUUUUCUUCCAAAAUAUCACGCGAGCGAAAAUUUUGACGUCCAAAUCCGGCCACGGCCUACUUCGAUUCUUCAAAUCUCAUGUCGUCAUUCAUUGGCUAAGAACUAGUCAUGCACGCUGCGCCCCUUACUUUCUGGUACCGGUAGGGUUUGCUGAAGAAAAGUGAUUUCACAGGGUUGUCGUCCGGCAUCCUUACGACGUGACCGGUCCACCGCAACCUAUUUUCUUUCGCCAGGUGCGCAAUGGGGUUCUCUCCAUUCCGUUCGAAAACACCAAGAGGACUUUCGUAGAGGACUACCGGUUAUAUCAGGGUUUUGUAGUUUUUUGUACCGAAGUGGUCAUGUCCGAUCAGCACUGUGAUUGGCGCGUACGCAUGUGAUGUCUGAGAAGAACGGGCCGUCGAUGAGAACGUGGUCAAUUGUUUUGCUGUACGUUGGUCGAGGAAGGAAGGGACUUUGGACUUUGGAAGCUGCGAAGUUGGUGCAUAGCUGGCCGUUGUCAUUCGUCACGGUGUGCAGACUGUGCUGGCCGAUCACCGGCUUAUAUAAGUCUUUUCUUGCAUUCAUGUCCCCAAUGACAAUCUUGAUGUCUCUACGCGAGCAGCUAUCGUAAAGUUUCUCCAGCUGUGCGUAGAACGUUUCUUUCUCUGCAUCAGGUCUUCCUUCGUGAGGACAGAGAACCAGCCUUUUAUUCUCAACAAACACAACCUGUCGCUGAUUGCCUGCCACUUCAUCACACGACUCUGCAUCCUGCAUAAAACCGCUACCAAGCUCAUUGGUUGUGCCACCGCUUUGGUGGUACUGUGCCUUGCGGUCACAAAUCCACCGUACCUUCUCUCUUUUCAGGCAAAGCUCUUGGAGCGCAACGAUGUCGAAGUGGCGGGAUUCUAGCUGAUCCAGACAUCCGGGGCGUUGAGCGAUCUACUGUUACAUGUACCGAGCUUCUAAUCGUCGUCCUAAUUUCGUCGGCUGGGUCAUUGCCUAUUGUUCCAAUUCGUUUUGAAUUUUUGAUUCUUCGUAGUAUGUUUAUUUUAGUAUGCUGCCUUACUAGGGCUGCGAUGCCUAGUCUCGCGACGGGGCUGCCGCCAUGGAUGUAGCUGGCGAGACACCGCAAGUCAUAGCUGCAAGUCAUAAGCUGCUCUCUAAGGAGAACAACUACGCCUUUCCUGUCAGCAUACGACCAAGUUCCCACCGGUUCACCGGUUUUCCCUUGGUUGCUCGUAUCCUAGUCGGUAACACGUGGAGGUAGGAAUAGGGCAUUAUGCCUUGAACCACACUUGGGUCUAUUUUUUUCCAGCUAGUACGGGUGUGCUGUUAAAACGCACUGCCCAGCCAUUUACCAAACCUGGCUCUCCGCAAUAUCAAAUCAGUGUUGCUGAAGGAGGUUGGCGUUCAAGAUAUUCGGUACAUCUUCGGAGAUUCUAUCCCGAAGUGAUUUUUUCUGCUGUUACGACACUAUUUUAAGCGUUAUUAAAUAAGCAUAUUGAAACUCCUUUUUCUGUUUUUUAAAAUUACAUACAUGAAAACUAGCUCCCCCUAGAAAUUUUCCUUAGUUGCGCCCACGUGUAUACCCAUAUAUGAGUCGUUGCGGAACAGAGUGGUCUAAAGACCAUUUUUUUUUCAAAAUGAGUUUUUCACAGUAUCCGCAUCUACCCAAGAAACUGAAGUUAGAAGACCAGAAAAUUUUGAAAAAUCGAACUUUAAAGCUGAUUCAUACCAUGUUGAAAUUUCGUCCGAAACAGAAUGGCUAUUCUGUUUCGGAACAGAGUGGUCUAUGUACAUAAAUCGAGGUAAUACCAUCAUGUAACAUCUAAUAUGUAACAUAUUACAAAAGGAAAACUACACACAUUGUAUAUUUUUAGACUCCUUAAAAAAGGUGAAAUAAAGUCACCGAAACUGUCGGAAUAAGAAGAAACAAAUCGUUUUUGCUUGUAUACACGCACUGAUUAAGCUGAUAAAUCCGUUAAACUAACCGUUCCAGUCGUUUUUUAAACAAACAUAAACAAACAUAUUACAUGUGAAGUUUCCAAAGAAUCCGAUAGUAACUAAGCUACGUAUGGACUUUUGCUGUCUUUCAGCAGAUUAUUUUACUACCGAAAACACCCGACUUUGCAGUGUUCAUGUUUUGUACGUGGCCGCAGCCAACAGGAAGCUGAGACCUAUACCUGGUGUGUUUCAAUAUUUCCGAUACCAAACUCAAGUGAAAGAAACCAGUACGAGAGCACCCGAAAACAGUAACAUCAAAAAACCUUAGCGGUUGCUGUAAUUGUACAUUGCUUUAUCAUAAUUUGACUAUGUUUUUUAUUGUAAAUACAUCAAUUCUACAUUAAAUAUUAUUGUUCAGAACAAUAAAAACACUGUGUUUGUCAUUUUUACGAUGAAGAGAGGGGUUUUUAUGUAUCUUCACAGCCAUAUUUGAGGCAUUCUUCAUAUACAUUUAGAGGUCACUUGCAAUGUUUUUCAUGGUAAAAUUAUUGCGGGUGGUAGAUUCAACAACAAAACAACAAAAGACGUUAAAACUGCUACUGCUGCUGAACUGCUGCUGCUGCUAGGAAUACUGCUGCUGCUGGGACUACUGUUGCUGCUGGGACUAUUGCUACUGCUGCUGGGACUAUUGCUACUGCUGCUGGGACUGCUGCCGAUGAUGAAUUGUUGCCUCCAAGCUGUUCCGUGGAAACUCUUAACAGCAUUACAGUAUGGUCCAACGAUCAACUGAAAGGUUCAGAACGGUUCAACGGGAUCGGUAGACUUGCUUCAGCGGGAAAGCUUAGACUGACACGAACGAUUCCGCGAUUGCGACAUCGAUCGAGCAAGCAAGCCUACACAAUUGAAAUGCUGUGUACAUAUACAUAAACAAAAAAAAAUUCAAUUCAAUAUAUUGUACGCUUUUU